AGGCCUACAGAAAGUGAAGAGAGACAGAGGGGGUGAGUAACAUAGGGAGAGGAUAGCAGAUCUCGAGAGAGAGUGACAGCUACGACUACAGAGAGAUACAGAGAGCGACAGAUUCUCACAGACAUACACAAACAGACAAAAGCAGAUAGAUCGAUCAGCACUUUACCCCUUGUACACAGAGCUCCCCAACUCUUAUUAGAUCUAUGUAGUAGGCCCUAUUAGGCCCUAUUACAUUUAAUAUACCGCACGGUAAGUCUUUUGAUGCGUUGCAAGCUCAUUAUUUUAUUUUAGCCCGUUUCUUUGAUCACCUCCACUGUAAGGUCCUUUAUCUAAAUCCUGACGAAUCUACACCAAAAUCUGGAAUAUCCAUCCACGUGAAUGUGAAGAAUGGCGGCGACAGCGCUGUGCAGAAUACGCUUUGAAGAAUAUUUCGAGUAACAUACAUUUUGCUCAAGUGCUUGACAUUGGAGUGGAUGUCUUUUCAUCACUUAAAAAUAAUGGUGAUGACCUCAUCUUUACAACCUAGUCUGGUUGAGAAGCGAUGAGUCAGCCUUUAUGGCAGACAUAGUAUGUUUGUAUUUGUCUUGGUUUGUUUGGAGUUCCUCUCACUGAGAAUUCAUCCAGUACAGGGGUCAGUCUUUUUUUUUUCAAUCUUUCAUGAGGUUGAUAUUUUUUAUAGUUUAUGCGACAAUUUGUUGCAUUUAUUCAGUUACAGCAAAUUUUUAAAAAAGACUAACCGUAUUUCUCAUGGGGCUGACCUCUUGGCUCUCCGGCCAUAACUUGGCUGCUCACAAACUCCGGAAGUUGUGUCAUUUUGUGCAGAUUUGGUGAUGAAAAUUUUUGAACAGGCAAAAUUGACUUCAGGACUUCCACUA